rnacentral:rRNA from 1 species
UGGGAACGUGCCCUUUGGUUCGGGACAACUCCGGGAAACGGGAGCUAAUACCGGAUACGCCCUUCGGGGGAAAGAUUUAUUGCCAAAGGAUCGGCCCGCGUCUGAUUAGCUAGUUGGUAGGGUAAUGGCCUACCAAGGCGACGAUCAGUAGCUGGUCUGAGAGGAUGAUCAGCCACACUGGGACUGAGACACGGCCCAGACUCCUACGGGAGGCAG